GAGGCAUUAUUUACUCCAUCAAACUGGUCAUGAUUUCGAAAACCUGUUGAACCUCUUGACCUCUGUUAAAAUGACAGCAACGGCACCUUCUCCAGUCUCGUCACACAACUGAAGCCAUCUCAUCUCUGGUACCCAGUAAAUCUCUUCUGAAACCUCGCUGAGGUCUUGGAGGCUGCUGAGGAAGGUGAGGGCCCACAAGGAGAAUUCCAAGUGUAGUGGAAUUGCCCAGUGAAAAUUCAGUCUCCCAGACAAUUCCUUCGGAGUGUGCUGCAAUGGGGAUUCCACAAGGUCUCCAACAACAAGUCCUAGCAGGCCAGAAUAAUGAUGAUCUGACCAUCAGAAAAGCCAGGCCAAUGUAUCCAGAAGAACACAGUAUUCCACCUGAGGUCUACUGUGGAUGCCUCUGAUUAAAAAAUGCCAAGGAUGCUUUUAAUAUGAUUCUCAGACUGAUCUGUCACUUUUGAAGAUUUAUCUUUACAAAGAAUAUAAGAAUUUAAAAUACUUUUACGGCAUUCAGCUGCAGGAAAUGUCCUUGUCUACCAGAAAGCAAGCAUCUAAAAUCUCAGCAGAUCUCAGCUCUUCCAAGUAGCCAGUACUUUCUCUGCUUCCAUUGACUAAUCCUCUUCUUGGAAUUGAACCCAUUGGAACUGGACUACACUCUCCUGACCGACUCGACACUGAUCCUUCUCUACUUCCAUACGAGUGCAGUGACAUCUUUGGUUUUAAUUUUACUGCAGAUGAGUUUCUCUAGCAAUUUGAUUUUAUGUUUAUUGGAGAUAAUAGGAACCAAGAAAAACAACCAAAUUUCUGUUGUCACCAAUGGAGUCGAAGACUGAGAGAAAAACAGUGCAUUACUCCUAGUUUAGUCAUAACAUUUUCAGUUGAAAUAGUUAACCUUGAUUUUUCUCACAAGUGCACAAAAAUCUUGA